rnacentral:rRNA from 1 species
GACGAACGCUGGCGGCGUGCCUAAUACAUGCAAGUAGAACGCUGAAGGAGGAGCUUGCUUCUCCGGAUGAGUUGCGAACGGGUGAGUAACGCGUAGGUAACCUGCCUGGUAGCGGGGGAUAACUAUUGGAAACGAUAGCUAAUACCGCAUAAGAGUAGAUGUUGCAUGACAUUUGCUUAAAAGGUGCAAAUGCAUCACUACCAGAUGGACCUGCGUUGUAUUAGCUAGUUGGUGGGGUAACGGCUCACCAAGGCGACGAUACAUAGCCGACCUGAGAGGGUGAUCGGCCACACUGGGACUGAGACACGGCCCAGACUCCUACGGGAGGCAGCAGUAGGGAAUCUUCGGCAAUGGACGGAAGUCUGACCGAGCAACGCCGCGUGAGUGAAGAAGGUUUUCGGAUCGUAAAGCUCUGUUGUAAGAGAAGAACGAGUGUGAGAGUGGAAAGUUCACACAGUGACGGUACUUAACCAGAAAGGGACGGCUAACUACGUGCCAGCAGCCGCGGUAAUACGUAGGUCCCGAGCGUUGUCCGGAUUUAUUGGGCGUAAAGCGAGCGCAGGCGGUUAGAUAAGUCUGAAGUGAAAGGCAGUGGCUCAACCAUUGUAGGCUUUGGAAACUGUUUAACUUGAGUGCAGAAGGGGAGAGUGGAAUUCCAUGUGUAGCGGUGAAAUGCGUAGAUAUAUGGAGGAACACCGGUGGCGAAAGCGGCUCUCUGGUCUGUAACUGACGCUGAGGCUCGGAAGCGUGGGGAGCGAACAGG